rnacentral:tRNA from 1 species
GACCGCGUAGCUCAGUUGGCAGAGCAUUGGGCUAGUAUUGGAAAGGUCGUAGGUUCGAUUCCCACCGUGGUCA